AGAGUUUGAUCCUGGCUCAGAUUGAACGCUGGCGGCAGGCCUAACACAUGCAAGUCGAGCGGAUGAAGAGAGCUUGCUCUCUGAUUCAGCGGCGGACGGGUGAGUAAUGCCUAGGAAUCUGCCUGGUAGUGGGGGACAACGUCUCGAAAGGGACGCUAAUACCGCAUACGUCCUACGGGAGAAAGCAGGGGACCUUCGGGCCUUGCGCUAUCAGAUGAGCCUAGGUCGGAUUAGCUAGUUGGUGAGGUAAUGGCUCACCAAGGCGACGAUCCGUAACUGGUCUGAGAGGAUGAUCAGUCACACUGGAACUGAGACACGGUCCAGACUCCUACGGGAGGCAGCAGUGGGGAAUAUUGGACAAUGGGCGAAAGCCUGAUCCAGCCAUGCCGCGUGUGUGAAGAAGGUCUUCGGAUUGUAAAGCACUUUAAGUUGGGAGGAAGGGCAGUAAGCAAAUACCUUGCUGUUUUGACGUUACCGACAGAAUAAGCACCGGCUAACUCUGUGCCAGCAGCCGCGGUAAUACAGAGGGUGCAAGCGUUAAUCGGAAUUACUGGGCGUAAAGCGCGCGUAGGUGGUUUGUUAAGUUGAAUGUGAAAUCCCCGGGCUCAACCUGGGAACUGCAUCCAAAACUGGCAAGCUAGAGUAGGGCAGAGGGUGGUGGAAUUUCCUGUAGCGGUGAAAUGCGUAGAUAUAGGAAGGAACACCAGUGGCGAAGGCGACCACCUGGGCUCAUACUGACACUGAGGUGCGAAAGCGUGGGGAGCAAACAGGAUUAGAUACCCUAGUAGUCC
rnacentral:rRNA from 1 species